AUACCUUUCUCGGCCUUUUGGCUAAGAUCAAGUAUAGUAUCUGUUUUUAUCAGUUUAAUAUUUGAUAUGUGGGUCACUCAUACGAUAUUAACUCAAUUUUUUUAAGGAAAAGGCUCAUCAAGGUAGCUUGCUACCUGGGCCUUUGCGCGUCGCCCUAAUCUUGCACUAUUGCUUGGGCUUGUCGCACCCCAC
rnacentral:snRNA from 1 species